UACAGAGGGGCAAGCGUUGUUCGGAAUUACUGGGCGUAAAGGGCGCGUAGGCGGCCUUCUAAGUCAUGCGUGAAAUCCCCGGGCUCAACCCGGGAACUGCGUUUGAUACUGGAGGGCUUGAAUCCGGAGAGGGAUGCGGAAUUCCAGGUGUAGCGGUGAAAUGACGUAGAUAUCUGGAGGAACACCGGUGGCGAAGGCGGCAUCCUGGACCGGCAUUGACGCUGAUGCGCGAAAGCCAGGGGAGCGAACGGGG
rnacentral:rRNA from 1 species